AGGAGGAUUGAGAAAGUUUGGUAGCCAGACUGUUGCUGCCACAACUGGUUAUUCCCUCCAAGAGCAAUGACAAACACUCU